AUUGAACGCUGGCGGCAGGCCUAACACAUGCAAGUCGAGCGUGGGGCGGACGUGUGAGAUGUGUAUGGGAAUCUGCCAGAUAGGGGGGGAUAACUACUGGACACUGUGUCUAAUACCGUAUACUAUCGGAUGACCCCAUAUGGGAUUAGCUAGUAGGUGGGGUAAAGGCUCACCUAGGCGACGAUCUCUAGCUGGUCUGAGAGGAUGAUCAGCCACACUGGAACUGAGACACGGUCCAGACUCCUACGGGAGGCAGCAGUGGGGAAUAUUGCACAAUGGGCGCAAGCCUGAUGCAGCCAUGCCGCGUGUAUGAAGAAGGCCUUAGGGUUGUAAAGUACUUUCAGCGGGGAGGCGUUACCCGCAGAAGAAGCACCGGCUAACUCCGUGCCAGCAGCCGCGGUAAUUC
rnacentral:rRNA from 1 species